rnacentral:rRNA from 1 species
AUACGGAGGGUGCAAGCGUUAAUCGGAAUUACUGGGCGUAAAGCGUACGUAGGCGGUCCGUUAAGUUAGAUGUGAAAGCCCCGGGCUUAACCUGGGAACUGCAUUUAAAACUGGCGGACUAGAGUUGAGUAGAGGGGAGUAGAAUUUCAGGUGUAGCGGUGAAAUGCGUAGAGAUCUGAAGGAACACCAGUGGCGAAGGCGACUCCCUGGACUCGAACUGACGCUGAGGUACGAAAGCGUGGGUAGCAAACGGGAUUAGAAACCCCGGUAGUCC